GGCUGCAGAGGCUCGGGCAUGUGCACCACACGGGUGAACAGGCCUACAUGGCCGUGGCAAGGAGGUGCCACACUGUGAGGCCCUGGUGCAGGCUGGCUUCUU